rnacentral:rRNA from 1 species
GAACCGUACCGCAAACCGACACAGGUGGGCAGGAUGAGAAUUCUAAGGCGCUUGAGAGAACUCAGGAGAAGGAACUCGGCAAAUUGAUACCGUAACUUCGGGAGAAGGUAUGCCCUCUAAGGUUAAGGACUUGCUCCGUAAGCCCUGGAGGGUCGCAGAGAAUAGGUGGCUGCGACUGUUUAUUAAAAACACAGCACUCUGCUAACACGAAAGUGGACGUAUAGGGUGUGACGCCUGCCCGGUGCUGGAAGGUUAAUUGAAGAUGUGAGAGCAUCGGAUCGAAGCCCCAGUAAACGGCGGCCGUAACUAUAACGGUCCUAAGGUAGCGAAAUUCCUUGUCGGGUAAGUUCCGACCCGCACGAAUGGCGUAACGAUGGCCACACUGUCUCCUCCUGAGACUCAGCGAAGUUGAAGUGGUUGUGAAGAUGCAAUCUACCCGCUGCUAGACGGAAAGACCCCGUGAACCUUUACUGUAGCUUUGCAUUGGACUUUGAAGUCACUUGUGUAGGAUAGGUGGGAGGCUUUGAAGCAGAGACGCCAGUCUCUGUGGAGCCGUCCUUGAAAUACCACCCUGGUGUCUUUGAGGUUCUAACCCAGACCCGUCAUCCGGGUCGGGGACCGUGCAUGGUAGGCAGUUUGACUGGGGCGGUCUCCUCCCAAAGCGUAACGGAGGAGUUCGAAGGUUACCUAGGUCCGGUCGGAAAUCGGACUGAUAGUGCAAUGGCAAAAGGUAGCUUAACUGCGAGACCGACAAGUCGAGCAGGUGCGAAAGCAGGACAUAGUGAUCCGGUGGUUCUGUAUGGAAGGGCCAUCGCUCAACGGAUAAAAGGUACUCCGGGGAUAACAGGCUGAUUCCGCCCAAGAGUUCAUAUCGACGGCGGAGUUUGGCACCUCGAUGUCGGCUCAUCACAUCCUGGGGCUGUAGUCGGUCCCAAGGGUAUGGCUGUUCGCCAUUUAAAGUGGUACGUGAGCUGGGUUUAAAACGUCGUGAGACAGUUUGGUCCCUAUCUGCAGUGGGCGUUGGAAGUUUGACGGGGGCUGCUCCUAGUACGAGAGGACCGGAGUGGACGAACCUCUGGUGUACCGGUUGUAACGCCAGUUGCAUAGCCGGGUAGCUAAGUUCGGAAGAGAUAAGCGCUGAAAGCAUCUAAGCGCGAAACUCGCCUGAAGAUGAGACUUCCCUUGCGGUUUAACCGCACUAAAGAGUCGUUCGAGACCAGGACGUUGAUAGG